rnacentral:rRNA from 1 species
UACGUAGGGGGCUAGCGUUGUCCGGAAUCAUUGGGCGUAAAGAGCGCGUAGGCGGCCAGAUAAGUCCGGUGUGAAAGUCAAAGGCUCAACCUUUGAAUGCCGCUGGAAACUGUCUGGCUAGAGUCCGGGAGGGGCGAGUGGAAUUCCUGGUGUAGCGGUGAAAUGCGCAGAUAUCAGGAGGAACACCAAUGGCGAAGGCAGCUCGCUGGAACGGUACUGACGCUGAGGCGCGAAAGCGUGGGGAGCAAACCGG